rnacentral:rRNA from 1 species
CUGGCUCACGACGAACGCUGGCGGCGUGCUUAGCACAUGCAAGUCGAACGGAACACCCUUGACAGAGGUUUCGGCCAAUGAAGAGGAAUGUUUAGUGGCGGACUGGUGAGUAACGCGUGAGGAACCUGCCUUUCAGAGGGGGACAACAGUUGGAAACGACUGCUAAUACCGCAUGAAGCAACGAGGGGACAUCCCCUUGCUGUCAAAGAUUUAUCGCUGAAAGAUGGCCUCGCGUCUGAUUAGCUAGUUGGUGGGGUAACGGCCCACCAAGGCGACGAUCAGUAGCCGGACUGAGAGGUUGACCGGCCACAUUGGGACUGAGAUACGGCCCAGACUCCUACGGGAGGCAGCAGUGGGGAAUAUUGGGCAACGGACGCCAAGUCUGACCCAGCAACGCCGCGUGAAGGAAGAAGGCUUUCGGGUUGUAAACUUCUUUUAACAGGGAAGAGAAGAAGACGGUACCUGUUGAAUAAGCCACGGCUAACUACGUGCCAGCCGCCGC